rnacentral:lncRNA from 1 species
GCAAUAGCGUGUGCGAACCUUAAUAGGGGAGGCUGCUGGAUCUGGAGAAAGUGAAGACGAUUUCGUGGUUUUGAAUGGUUUUGUUUGUGCUUGGUAGGCAGUGGGCGCUCAACACAUAAUUGGUGGAUGAAAUUUUGUUUUUACCGUAAGACACUGUUAAGUGCAUUCAAAACUCCACUGCAAACCCUGGUAGGGGACAGCUCCGGCACUGCGGGCGGGAAUCCCACGGUCCCCUGCAAAGUCAUCGCAAUUUUGCCUUUACAUGUAAGAAUUCUCUCAAGCAUGAUUUUCACACUGGGGAAUGUCAUUUUUGCUAGUUGCAAUAUGUGGAUGAGUUGUUUUUUUUUAACUUUUGAAAAACGUACCAUUCUGUUUGAUGUGUAAAAAACACAAAGAUUUUUGAAACCUUGCGUCUUUUGGUCUGCAGGUGUAUAGAUUCCACUUACUACAGAUGAGUAGCAUUUACACCACUCAGAUGUGUAAAAAAACAAAGGUUUUUUAAACUGUGUGCCUUUUGAUCUGCAAGUGUGAGAUGGCACUUACUACAGUGAGUAGCAUUUAAUCUUUUUCAUCACUAAAAAUCACACAGAACGUUUUAAUCAUUCACCGAGGAAGAAAGGGAGGAAUAAAUACACAAAAUGGCUCUCAACGUCUACACCUUCUGCAGAAACAGACCCUUUUCCUACUGUUCUAUGCUUUGUGAAAGUUGAUCAUACAAAUUGGGUCAUUCUUUUUAUACCCAACUAAAAUAGUGGGGGUAGGGGGUAGAAAAGCACUUAGGACAAAUGACACUGCUCCCACAGUGUAAUUCUCUCCAAGUCCAGCUGCUGCAACUGCCCGUUGUGACCUGAGACCAGUUUUAUCUAAUAGUUGCUAAAAUGACCUGCUGCAGCUCUAAUUUUAUCUACCACCAUCACUCACCAGUUGAAACUCACCAGCUCCUCAGAUCCUUAAUAGUGCCAAUGAAUUUUCUCAAAGAGCACUAUGUAACAUUUCUCUUUUUUAACAAAACCUCCCCCUUUUCUUUGUUGUGUGGAUAUACCGAAGACCAUCUGAUCUACAUGUAUGCCCUAAUUGCAAUUCUUUCUUCCCAAAUAAAUCACUUAAUUUAGAGAUUCAUCUCUGUAUUUUUAUUUUGACUGACAGCUUAUAACAAGUAGCUAGCAUUUACCAAGUUUCUACACUGAGUUGUACUUCACUUAUACGUGGAAUUAAAAAACAACUGAAUUUAUAGAAACAGAGUAGACCCUUGGUUGGGGGGCUUGGGGGGAAAGAAAAUUGUAGGGUAGGGUACAAAGUUGCAGUUACGUCUAAUACAUCUAGAGAUUUAAUGUACAACAUGAGGACUAGCGUUAAUAAUUGUGUUAGUCCAUUCUUACACUGCUAUAAAGAAAUAACUGAAACUGGGUAAUUUAUAAAGAAAAGUUUAAUGGCUCACAGUUCUGCAGGCUGUACAAGAAGCAUGGCUGGAUCAGCUUCUGGGCAGGCCAUAGGGAACUUAAAAUCAUGAUGGAAGGCAUAGGGAGACCCCAGACUUCACAUGGCAGGAACUGGGGGAAGAGAGAAAUGGGAGGUGCUACAUACGUUUAAACAACUAGAUCUUGUCAGAACUCACUAUAUAGUACCAAGAGGGGACUGUACAAAACCAUUAGAAGCCACCCCAUAAUCCACUCACCUCCCACCAGGCCCAACCUCCAACACUGGGGAUUACAGUUGAACAUGAGAUUUGGGUGGGGACAGAGAUCCAAACCAUGUUAUUCCAACUCUGGCCCCUCCCAAAUCUAAUGUCCUUCUCAUAUUGCAAAAUACUGUCGUGCCUUACCAACAGUUCCCCAAAGUCUUAACUCGAUCCAGCAUUCAUUCAAAAGUCCAAAGUCCCAAGUCUCACCUGAGACGAAGCUAGUCCCUUCUACCUAUGAACCUGUAAAAUCAAAAACAAGGUAAUUGCUUCAAAGAUACAAUGGGGGUAUAGGCAUUGGGCAGAUACUGCCAUUCCGAAAGGGAGAAAUCUGCCAAAAGAAAGAGGCUAUAGGGCCCCAUUGCAAGUCUGAAAGCCAGCCGGGCAGUCAUUAAAUGUUAAAGCUCUGAAAUAAUCUCCUUUGACUCACACCCAGGGAACACUGAUGCAAUGAGUGGGCUCCCAAAACCUUGGGCAGAACCACCCCUGUGGUUUUCCAGGGUUCAUCUCCCACAGCUGCUCUCAUGGGCUAGCAUUGAGUGCUUGCAGCUUUUCCAGGCUGCAGGGUGCAAGUUGUUGGUGGAUCUACCAUUCUGGGGUCUGGAGGACGGUGGCUGUCUUGUCAUAGCUCUGCUAGGCAGUGCCCCAGGGGACUCUCUGUGGGGGCUGCAACCCCACAUUUCUUCUCCUUGCUUCCCUAGUAGAUGUUCUCCAUGAGGAUUCCACCCCAGUAACAGGCUUCUGUCUGGACAUCCAGGCUUUUUCAUACAUCCUCUAAAAUCUAGGCAGAGCUUCUUAAGCCUCAACUCUUGCAUUAUGUGCGCCCGCCGGCUUCACAGCUUAUGGAAGCCACCAAGGCUUAUGCCUGGCACCCUGUGAAGCAGCAGCCUGAACUGUAUUCUUACUGGUGAAAGUUAUCUGAGUUACCAGCUGCAAAUCCAUGUGGGUCUGCAGCAACCUCAAUUCUUGCCUCCUCAGAAGAAAGAAUUUGACCAAGAGGCAUAAGGCAGAAAAAGAGACUGCGAC